UACGGGAGGCAGCAGUGGGGAAUAUUGCACAAUGGGCGAAAGCCUGAUGCAGCGACGCCGCGUGCGGGAUGACGGCCUUCGGGUUGUAAACCUCUUUCAGCAGGGAAGAAGCGAAAGUGACGGUACCUGCAGAAGAAGCACCGGCCAACUACGUGCCAGCAGCCGCGGUAAUACGUAGGGUGCGAGCGUUGUCCGGAAUUAUUGGGCGUAAAGAGCUCGUAGGCGGUUUGUCACGUCUGCUGUGAAAGCCCAGGGCUUAACCCUGGGUUUGCAGUGGGUACGGGCAGGCUAGAGUGCAGUAGGGGAGACUGGAAUUCCUGGUGUAGCGGUGAAAUGCGCAGAUAUCAGGAGGAACACCGAUGGCGAAGGCAGGUCUCUGGGCAGUAACUGACGCUGAGGAGCGAAAGCAUGGGUAGCGAACAGGAUUAGAUACCCUGGUAGUCCACGCCGUAAAC
rnacentral:rRNA from 14 species